CUUUUUCUAUGGGACACAGACAGUACACAGACACACACAGACACACCACGGGUGCGGGGAUGGCGCUGUUGCCACUCACAGAAUUGAUUUCAGGAAAACAGCUCGUCUUAGUGACUGUAUUUCUGUUUUCAAACCAGUGAAAACGGGAUUAUUGUAAGAUUUUAUUAUUAUUUUUUUUUUUACUUUUUUUUGGUGAAGCAGUGCUUCACCUGUAGUCGUAUAGAAACCGCCACUAAACCGCCUAGUAGGAACUGUGUGUAAUGCUUUUAAUAUCUAUUUCACCACAAUUAUCAGACUGUAAAAUGAUAGGAUUUCAAAAGCAUUUGAAAGAUAACCAAGCUAAUCAUACAGUACUUAUUCUUUCUCCAAGGGGCAUUGCUGAAAUUUCUUCAUCCCGCUCUACCAAGUGUUGUCUCUGGUGCUACUGAAGGGCCAUCAACAUCGUCUUCGUCACAUGUUUAUGAGGAGGAGCAAGUGGAAGACAACAUUGCGGCGUCCACACCACUUCCCAGCAGUGGUUCAACAGAAGCAGUGCCAUCAACUCCAUCACGACUUGAGGAGGAGCAAGUGGAAGCAUCCACACCACUUCCCAGCAGUGGUUCAACAGAAGUGCCAUCAACUCCAUCUCCACUUCAUGAGGAGGACAAAGAGGAAGAUGACAUUGACAUGGCAGAGACCACCCCACCAUCCAGAACUGGGGUACCUGUAGGUAUUGCAAGCACCACAUUAAGUGAUGACCCAGGAUGUUGGCCCAGUGUCCUAACAAGCAGUAUGCGCUGUGAAAUAGUCAAAAAAGGACCUGUGCAAAUCAUGGACAUUGAAUUCCCGCAAAACUUAGACAAUCCUCCUCGAAGAUUCACCAAGGACAGUUACAAAAGAACCAUGAAAAAUGGUGAGAAUAUACAUCGAUCGUGGCUGGUGUAUUCCAUCCACACAGAUGGAGUGUUCUGUUUCCCUUGUACUGUUUUCGGGAAGCGUGAGCGUGACAAUGCCUUAACGACCUGUGGCUACGGUGGAUGGAAGAACCUUUCCUAUCGCCUAAAAAAACACGAGUGCACAAAGGUGCACUGUGACAAUGUGAAAAAGUGGCACGACCUUCAGAGGAGACUGCAAACCAGUACACUGAUUGAUCAAAGACAGAUGGAGUUGAUGCAACUUGAAGUUGAACACUGGAAAGGCGUGAUUCGGAGAGUGAUUGCCAUAGUUUCCCAUCUGGCAGAACGCAACCAGGCUUUGAGAGGAACUACCAGUACCGUGUAUGAUCGCCACAAUGGGAAUUUUCUGGCUCAAGUGGAACUCCUAGCACAGUUUGAUCCGGUAAUGAAUGAACACAUCAGACGAAUACAAUGCAAAGAGACAAAGGUGCAUUACCUGAGUGGAGUCAUUCAGAACGAAAUCAUUCAGCUGGUCGGAGACAAAAUCCUACAGGAGAUUGCAAGAAGAGUGCACAAAGCAAAAUACUUCUCCGUGAUCAUGGAUUGCACUCC